AGUGAACGCUGGCGGUAGGCCUAACACAUGCAAGUCGAACGGCAGCACAGUAAGAGCUUGCUCUUACGGGUGGCGAGUGGCGGACGGGUGAGGAAUACAUCGGAAUCUACUUUUUCGUGGGGGAUAACGUAGGGAAACUUACGCUAAUACCGCAUACGACCUACGGGUGAAAGCAGGGAAUCUUCGGACCUUGCGCGAUUGAAUGAGCCGAUGUCGGAUUAGCUAGUUGGCGGGGUAAAGGCCCACCAAGGCGACGAUCCGUAGCUGGUCUGAGAGGAUGAUCAGCCACACUGGAACUGAGACACGGUCCAGACUCCUACGGGAGGCAGCAGUGGGGAAUAUUGGACAAUGGGCGCAAGCCUGAUCCAGCCAUACCGCGUGGGUGAAGAAGGCCCUCGGGUUGUAAAGCCCUUUUGUUGGGAAAGAAAAGCAGCAGGUUAAUACCCCGCUGUUCUGACGGUACCCAAAGAAUAAGCACCGGCUAACUUCGUG
rnacentral:rRNA from 1 species